AAAGAGAGGGGAGUUCAGACCAAAGUGCUGACUCACCACACUGGUGUGGAUUUGAAGUCACGAGUACGUUGUCAGCAUAUAACGCACCUGGCCAAAGGCUGGGGCUGCAGUGUUUUGUUGGGACCUCCAGGAAAACUGGACAGAAAGGAAGACCACCUAGGUGGGGGUGAAGAACGGAAUUAAGAAAGCAUGUGUGAUCUCGCAGAAGUCAGGGAAGGAGAAAAAAAAAAUAAGCAAAGAGGAAGCAGGCUCACAGAUGGAGAGGAAUUGUGUCUCACGAUUCUCAGGAAUUGUGUCCAGACGUACAGGAUGUUUUCAUCACUCCGAAAAGAAACCCCGCACCUAUUAUCAGUCACUCUCCAGCCCCUGCCCUCAGCCCUAGCCUUUUAUAACCAUGCUGGAAAACCGUCUGGCAGUGUCUGCUGAAGCUACUCACACCCAUACUUUAUGACGCAGCAACUGAACGCCCGGGUUGUAGAGAACUACAUUUCCCAGGCUCCCUCAUGCUGGAACCUACCUUGUGACUGCGAAGAUGUGUAGGGAGACAUUGUAUCCUCACGAUAGUCACUUCUUUGUUUAUUGAGUUGUUGUUUUUGUUGUUAUUAUUACUCUUGCUUCUUGGUAUCCUGAGGGGCCCCAGGCCUUUGGGCACAUGCGGUUGGGAACUUUCCUGAAGCCAUUUCAAGCUGGGCAGGGAGGUGAGUGUAGGCAGCAAAGUAAAUGGAGAAUCACAGCAGGGUUUGAGGCAUGCGCAUGGGGUCCAGUGGGGGCCUGAGCAUUUAGCCCAGCCUUACUGGGGAAGGGGGCAGAGAGCGCUUCCAUGAUGAAGUGAAACCUGAGCUGAAGGUUGAAGUUAAACAGGGGUUUUCAAGGUAAAAAGAGGUAGUUCCCCCCUCCCCCCAGUUCAGUAUACAACCAACACCGGAUAUAAAGAUGAUGCUUUUUUAUUUGGAAAGAGUUUUGCAUAAGGGUAUAAGAACAGAGUUUGGGGUCAAAUGGGAUUUAAAUCCUGGCACCAUCACUUCCUCUGUGACCUUGAGCAAGUUCCUAAAACUCUCUGAACCUCAAUAUCUUCAUCUGUGAAUUGGGAUAAUAAAUCCCACCUCACUGGCUGGUCAUCCAGUUCAAAGGAGAUGAACUGACUUGUAUUAAACACUUGAAAAGUGACAGCUAUGACGUUCCCCUAGUGAGCUUUGAACUUUUAUCAUCAUCAAGUGAAUGUUGACAGUUCUCUUACUGUGUUCAAGUGUUCAGUGAACCUAUCUUGUCCCAGGCACCCUCAUUUGAGAGGACAGAAGAUAUUAUUCCCUGGACUACAGACUCAGAGGGAAGAGGGGACCUGCCCGCUCUCACCUUGAGCUGGGUUCCCCAAGAAGCAGGAGCCAGGCAAGCAUGAGAGAGAGUUCAAGUACCUUACUUGGGAGGUGAUCCCAGGAAACACUGGCUAGGGAGCAGGAAGUGAGACAGAGAAGGGAAGUCAGCCCACUGCAGGAGGUGUUUUCAGUCUGUUACUGUGGAGGACAGUGGGGCUCAGCUCUACAGGAAGCCCUGGGAGGCAGGGUAGAGUGCAUGUCUCAAGGUUACCCCAGCCGAGGGGAUUGCUGCAUCAUCAGCCACCAACUCCAGUCGUGGCUGAGAGCCGAUCCUGGGGCGUUUGGCGUGUCUAGCCAGUGCUACAGGCAGCACAGUGGACUCCAGUGGCCAGGGAACAGGACUUCCUUCUCCGGCUGGGGAGCGCAUGUGGCCGGUGUAUAGGACAAUCAAGAAGUGUCCGAGAGCCACAGAGCAGGAAAGACACCUCGACAGUUUCCUCAUCCUCAGUUGAGGUAACUCUGAAGGGUGUUCUGCAUGAUCUCCCAUGCCUCCACAAUGGGGGUAGCUCCAGAAGCCUACGGUGGUAACUUGCUGGAUAAUAUAACCCAUUUGGAGGGAUUCUUUCUCCCUUUCUUCAGUUCUGAACUCUCCUGCGAGUGUUUCCUGCUGUCACUUCUUCCCAGAUUAAACUUGCACUUGAAUCCUUAUUUCAGAGAGUGUGUCCAGGGUCACCCAAACUAUGUAGAUGGCCUCGACAUGAGAACCUGUGGGUAUAAGGUUUCUGAAAACUUCUGAGAGUGUUGGGGUUCACUGUGCUCAUGAUGAGAGCUGGGAGACAAUGAGUGUUGAGGGCCUGAGGGGAUGCACUUGGAGGUAGGUCUGAGGUCAAGGGAAGGGUCAGGUGGGCCUGGGAAGCAGGGUUUCUCAGGGUAAGCUCUUUGCUAAAGAGGAAAGAGAUUGAAAUGAACUUGGGGUGACCCUGAAGCUUGUUAAGUCCUGAGUAUUGCCAAAAGACGUGCCUUGACUUGAAAGUUUACUACAAAGUAGUUUGGAUAUUGGGAGAAAGUACCACUAGUGCCAGCCAAAACCCACAUCUUCUUUCUGAGUCAGGGUGGCUGCUUGGGUAUCUUUUGCCAGGGCAUCUGCAUACCUUUGUCUUGACACAGAACUUGAUCUGUUCCUCACUGAGGGAAACUUGAGUUGGUGGUUAUGACCUACCCCCUGGGGCUAUGGAUGGACUUCUGACCCAUCUCAGACUUACCUCCAGUCCUGGCCUCAGAGAACACCUGAUACUGGCCAUAGACUGCUUUUUCCCACCCCAGCCAUUAGACUAACUUGUAAGUCCAAUUUCACAUAUUGUUCCAGAAACAUACUAUCACCUCAAGGAGACCAGCAAAGACAGAGUGGGUCCCUGAGUGUAGCCCACCCACAGCUGGAGCCCUGAGGGCACAUGAUCUCAAAUUUCCUAUGGGGUAGAGGGUCUACUAUGACCUGAAUUCUAGGGGAUUCUAUAAUCUGACCUUGGCAAUGAGGACCAAAGGCUUUCAUGACUAUGUGAAUUUCAUUUUUCAUGCAUCCAUCUGUUCAUCCUGAAUCUGGAACACUUUUACCCAUUGAAGGAAUUAAACAGGAGUUGGAAGGAGCUCAGCAAGACCAGCCAAAGACUCAAAGAACAUUUGGCUCAAGGAAAUUCCAGAAGAGAAAGAGCUGGUGAAAAAGGAGGCUGGAAUCCUGGCAGCUAUCUCCCACCCAGAGCAGGGAGGGUGGUACAAGCUGCCAAGGGAAAGAUCCAGGCCAGGCUGGGAAGCUACCUUCAUACAUGGGUAAGGAUAAGAGAGGCAACGGGACUCCAUUCUCCAAUAAAGUGGAAGAGAGAAGCAAUCAGCUUUGUUGGGAACCUGUUAAAGGGGACCCUGAAUGUGUGCUGAAGAAUUUGUUUGGUAAAAAACCUUCUGAUUGGGACAGAAAGGCCUUGGUUUUUUUUAAUUGCAGUUCUUUAAUUAACAAGAUGGAUAAUUUUUUGUCUUUCAUGAAAUUAAAGAAAAUUGAAUUCUACCAUACAUUCUGAAGAGUGGACAAAAGUGUACUGCUCCUUGAUGAAUUUUCACAAACUGAACUCACCCGUGUAACCAGCACUCAGAGAAACAGAAUAUGAUUAGCACCUCCAAACCCCCCACCUUGUGCUCUCUUCCCAGUCACUACCUCCUCAAGGGUAACCACUACCCUGACUUUUUUUUUUAAGUUUAUUUAUUUACUUUGAGAGAGAGAAAGAGCAUGCAUGAGUUGGGGAGGGGCAGAGAGAGAGAGAGGGAGAGAGAGGGAGAGAGAGAAUACCAAGCAGGCUCCAUGCUGUCAGCACAGAGCCAAAUGCAAGGCUCGAUCCCAUGAAGCAUGAGAUCAUGAUCUGAGCCAAAAUCAAGAACUGGACACUAAGCCAGCUGAGCCACCUAGGUGCCCCUAUCCUUUUAAUAGCGUAGAUUAAUUUUGCCUGUUCCUGAAACUCAUAUGAAUGGAAUUAUUCAGUGCAUAUUCUUUUACGUCUGUCAUUUCCCCCUCAACAUUGUGUAUGUGAGAUUUAUCCACAUUGUGUGCAACAACAGGCCAUUCUUUUUCAUUGCUGUACUGUAUUUCAUUUUAUGGUAUACCAUGGUUUAUUUGUUCAUUCUGCCUUUGAAGGAUGUGUGAUUCAUUUCCAGUUUUUAGCUACUAUGAAUAAAGCUGCUAUGGCAUUCUUGUGCAUGUCUUGAUGGAUAUAUGUUUGCAUUUCUAUUACACAUGCUCCAAGAAAUGGGAUUGCUGGGCCAUAGAAUAGGCAUGCAUUUAGCAUUUGUAGCUAAUACAAAGUAGUUUUCCAAAACGUUUUCAGCAACCUCACUCUUACUAGCAAUGUAUGAGAUUUCCAAUUGCUCUGUAUUCUUGCUAAUACUUGGUACUUUUUGUAUUUUUCAUCCUUGCCAUCAUAAUGGUUGUGUAAUGAUAUGAUAUUAUGGUUUUAAUUUUCAUUUCCCUUAUGACUGAUGGGUUUGGGCACCUCAUAUGUUUAUUGACCAUUUGGUUAUCCUCUUUAUUGAAAGGCUUGUUCAAAACAAGCCUGUUCAAAACUUUGGCCCAUUUUUCUAUUGGGUGGUCCGUCAUUCUCUUAUUGAUUGCCCAUAGUGGCUGUGUGAUUUUGAACAAAUGUCUACCCCUUUAUAGGCCUUUGAUUCCUCACAUUGUUUAUGUUGUUAUUGUGAAGUUAAAUCGAACCUCUAAGGCUCUUGGGUGGGUCCACAGUCCUGGACUUUCAAACGACCUUAUUUCAUUCCUAUGGCCCCUCUUAGGCAUGGGCAAAUGACUCAGCCUGGUCCAAUGAGAUGUUUAUUGAAGGCUUUGGGAAAGCAAAUCUCUUUCUUCUGGGAUUUCUGAAUGUGAGGAUGACAUCAAAUGAUGUUAGAUUGGAGUUGUUCUUAUGGUCUUAUUGCCAUUGACCCACGAAGACAUGAAGAGAUGCUCAGAGUGAAUCCAAUACCAAAGAAAGCCAACAACAUGGAAACAGGGAGAAAAUAUGAGAGAGAGAGAGAGAGAGAGAGAGAGAGAGAGAGAGAGAAUUGAUGCAACCAUUCUUUUUAGUUUUUCUGUGAGCCAGCAUUGUCUUUAUCACUUAAAAGAGGAAGAAAAUUAGUUUUGCAAUUGCUGUUGAUGCCCUCUCCCCAUGUUAUCCCUUUGGCACUCACUAUUCCCGUUCCCUCCUAAAGCUUCCUGCUAUAAGCACUUGAGACUGUUUGAGGAUGUUCCCCAGUUUUUGGAAUUGCCUUAUAUAAGGCAAGCUGGAAUGCUGGAGCUUAGGAGUCCUGUGAGUAGCCCUGAACUAAUGACAGAUGAAAGUUGGUGGAUAAACACUCUAGCUUCCUCUCCCUUAUGUGGGACGCUCUGAUGUGUGCUCUAUACAGUCGCUAAGAAUUCUCCAGCUGAAGUGAGCUCCUAGUUUUUCACUGUGGUGGCCUGCUCAUGAUGUCCCCUGCAUGGGCAGCCUUCCCUGCUUUGUCUUACUUUCCCACUCCUUUCUUGGUGCUGUCUGACAUCACUUCCCAAAUAAACCACUUCCGUGGCAAUUCUUGUCUCAGGGUCUGCUUUUGGGAGACUCCAAACUAAGAUAAUGAAGGAACUAGAAUUUAAGCCAAAGUUUCGAUGAGCAUUAUAGAAUCCAAGUUAAUCUAAUGCAAUCAGGUUCAGUUUGAGGGCUCUGUAUGGAGCUUGAGUAAGUCUCUGAGGGUCUAAAUAGUUUAAAGUCAUCUCUGUCUUCAAGAGACCCACCAGUUUGGUGAGGAGAUAAGCUGCCCGUGUAAAACACUUGAAUAAAUAUAUUUUAGAAUUCUGAUGUUGGCAGGGAAGGGGCCCUGCUAUGGGGAUAUCUGGGUAUAAGUGGCUGGAAUCGCCAAUUUUAUGGCUCCUGAGAGUCCAGAGACUUCCUGCCAAUUUCUUCAAAUUCCCAACAACAGACUGGGCACAAAGCCCAUAGUCACAGAAAUCUUAUCACACACAACAUUUUGAUAGUUUGGCAGUUUUAGGGAAGGUGUGGAAAACUAUGAAAGUGACCAGGUCUCUCACCUCACAACCAUGUCCCACGCUGCCGAAGCCAUACCUUCUUGAGCUCUACCUCCUUCCAGAGGACUCUUCUUAUUGGGUGCUACCACCAGGCCGUUGGCCCAAGCUCGGUUCUGAUUGUUUCUUUCCUGCUGGAAAGCUUGCCGGGCUGGCCAGCCUUCUCCAGAGCUCUUUGGAAAUUGGAGUAAAUAAAUAUUGGCCAUUCUUAAAAACUGAAGUCUCGAUUGAUCUUAAAGUUAUCUUUGAUCCCCCUCUUUCUCUAAUCCUCCAAGUCCAGCAUGGUGGCAAAACUUAUUGGCUCAACUUUCAUGACAUUUCCAACAUCUGAGCAGCUCUUACUUUCUCCACUGUCACCACCCUGGUUUGAACUACUGUCUUUUCUGGUCUUGAUGAGUGCAAUUGCUUUUCCCACAGGUCUCACUAUUGCCAACCUCAUUUUCCAUACUAGAAGCAGAUUUAUCUUUCUAAAAGUGUAGGUCACAUCCGUAUGUAAAUUCUUCUUUGCUCAAAAGCUACUGAAGGCUCCUUAUCUCAUUCAGAGUAAAAUAUGGAGCCUUUCCAUGACGAACAGGGCAGGCGUUCAUCACCACUCUGACCUGAGCUUCUACUGUUCUUCUCUUUGCUCAUUCUGAUCCAGCCACACUCCCCUCUUGCUGUUUUCUGAACCUGCCAAGAAAGGUCACACCUCAGGGCCUUUGGACUUGUUAUUCCCUCUGCCUGGAAUCUUUUCCCUCAGAUUUCAGCCUGACUCAUUCCUCAUCUAUUUGGGAUCCUUACUCAGAGUGACUUUCUUUGACCAUUCAUAUCGAAUAGCAUCCCUUUCUAGCAGUUUCUAGUGCCUUAUUCACCCACUUGAUAUAUUAAAUAUAUAUACACUGAAAAUAAUUGGUUUAUUGA